CUGUGGUGGGGGUGAUGGCCUACCAAGGCGACGACGGGUAGCCGGCUGAGAGGGCGACGGCCCACUGGGACUGAGACACGGCCCAGACUCUACGGGAGGCAGCAGUGGGGAAUAUUGCACAAUGGGCGGAAGCCUGAUGCAGCGACGCCGCGUGAGGGAUGACGGCUUUCGGGUUGUAAACCUCUUUCAGCAGGGACGAAGCGCAAGUGACGGUACCUGCAGAAGAAGCGCCGGCCAACUACGUGCCAGCAGCCGCGGUAAGACGUAGGGCGCGAGCGUUGUCCGGAUUUAUUGGGCGUAAAGAGCUCGUAGGCGGCUUGUCGCGUCGACCGUGAAAACUUGGGGCUCAACCCCAAGCCUGCGGUCGAUACGGGCAGGCUAGAGUUCGGUAGGGGAGACUGGAAUUCCUGGUGUAGCGGUGAAAUGCGCAGAUAUCAGGAGGAACACCGGUGGCGAAGGCGGGUCUCUGGGCCGAUACUGACGCUGAGGAGCGAAAGCGUGGGGAGCGAACAGGAUUAGAUACCCUGGUAGUCCACGCUGUAAACGUUGGGCGCUAGGUGUGGGGGGCCUUCCGGU
rnacentral:rRNA from 1 species